rnacentral:tRNA from 1 species
GCUGGGGCUCAGUGGCAGAGCGCUUGCCUAGCAUGUGUGAGGCACUGGGUUUGAUUCUCAGCACGGCA